CAGUCGCCGCGGUAAGACAGAGGAUACAAGCGUUAUCCGGAAUGAUUGGGCGUAAAGCGUCUGUAGGUGGUUUAAUAAGUCUGAUGUGAAAGCCCACGGCUCAACCGUGGAGGGUCAUUGGAAACUGUUAAACUUGAGUACAGGAGAGAAAAGUGGAAUUCCUAGUGUAGCGGUGAAAUGCGUAGAGAUUAGGAGGAACACCAGUGGCGAAGGCGGCUUUUUGGCCUGUAACUGACACUGAGGCGCGAAAGCGUGGGGAGCAAACAGGAUUAGAUACCCCAGUAGUCCCUGUCUCUUAUAC
rnacentral:rRNA from 1 species